CGUUGACAAAUUAAAUUUACAAUAUUGAAAUAAGGGUGUCACGAUCAGGUACACGCAUCACGUUCGAUCGUCGACGAUCUUUCUAUAUAUAAAAUAUAUCGAUACCAAACGAUAUUACAUUUGUUAUAAGGCAUAUACGUAUUACGUACAUACGCGUACACGUGCAUACAGAAAAAUUAAGAAAAAAAUAGCAAAAUAGAGCGAGGAAGAGAGAGAAAGAGAGAGAUGAAAGUUCAUUGUUUACGAGGAAGGACGUCUGUCCUAACAAACGGAGUUUUCGAUGAGGUCUCGUAUUUUUGUAUUCCUGUUGCUUUCUUUUAUUUUUUGAUUUUGAUUAAUUAACUAAUUAAAUUAUAAAAAUUUUAAUAUAUAUAUAUAUAUACAUAUAUAUAUAUAUAUAAUAUUAUUACACUGAAAGAAAAAGAGAAUGUUUAUACCAUUUACUAGCUGACGUAUACAAAGCAAAUCUUAUUACAAUGUUUAUAUGUUUCUAUAUAAGCUGAAAUAUCUAAAUACAACUUAUGUUAUUUACUUUCUGUCGAAUAUCGUAUGAGAUCAGUCUUUCGGCAACCACCGAGGUGGAAUGUUGGAAGAUCCCAUAUAAACAUACGUUUGUAAAUAGAUACAUAUGUACAUAACUAGAUACAUAAUAUACACACCCACGCACACAUACACAAAGUAUACAGUAUUCUUUCUCUUGGGUAUUGCUUGAGAUUUUCUUAUAUUGUAUGGACAGUAACGAGCAACCUUUGUUCUGCAAUGAGCCAAAAUUAAAUAUCUGAUAUUGUUAUUGAUACAUUAUGAACUAAAAAUGUUUAAAUUGAUUAAAAAGAUAUUAAUACUUGAUAGAAAAAGAAAAAAUUACACAUUAUUGAAGGGUAUUUGGUAUUUUCGGCAUCAAUUUACAAUGAAAUGUUUUCUAUAAUCCUAUUGAUUUUUUAUUAGCAAUACUUUUAAUGUGUACGCAUAAAUGUAUGUAUAUAUAUCUUUGUAAUGGAACGAAAUCUAUUAGUUGUUUAUUUUUAAUUAGAUAUAUGAUUCUACUUCUCGUUAAUAAACUUUACAUUAUUAUAUUGGAAGAUACAAUGGAAGAUAUCGAAUUAAACUCUAAUACAAUCUUUUAUUCGUUUGUCGUUAACGUUAAGACUUUUGAUAAAAGAUUUCAAUACUUCGGUUAAUAGUUAAAAUGCCUUUCAACUGGCCGUAGAUAACAAAGCUCUUCACAAAUGUAUCAACGUAAGAUGUAAUACCACUGAUUAAGAAAUUCACUAAUUAUAGUCGACUAUUGUCAUUUUUCGAUGCAAGAUGUAAGUCGUAUUUGCAUUGAUACGCAGAUGAAUACGUAUAUGAUAAUGUUUUUUUAUAAACCCUGAGUUUAUUUCUGAUACAGAUUGAGAUAUAUACAGAUAUAUAUAUAUAUAUAUAUAUAUAUAUAUAUAUAUAUAUAUAUAUUAUAUAUAAUAUGUAUAUAUAUAUACAGAGAGAGAGAGAGAGAGAGAGAGAGAGAGAGAGAGAGAGAGAGAGAGAGAGAGAAAGAAAGGGUAAACGAAUCGAGAAUUUGAAUAAAACAAAGAACGAUAUCGAGAUUAAAUUGAAAAGAAACUUUGUUAGCUCUUGACAAAAAGGCAUUCGAUAAGGAAGCAUUAGGCGUCCAAAGUACAAUUAUAUCAAAAACCCAUUCAAAUUAAAGAAGAUUACAUAUGUAUCUGAUUAUGAUACCUUAUAUUUCUUAUUAUUCAUAUAAAAGAAAAGAAAAAGAAAAAAAAAAACAGUUAAGAAGAAUAAGAAAGAAAUCUCAUCUUUAUUUCCCAAUAUCUUCAAUUAUGAUAGAUUUCUAAAUACAAUAAGGAUAAUAAUAACAAUAAUAACAACAACAAUAAUAUGCAGAAGAAGAAGAAGAAGAAGAAUAAAGUAUCUUGGUAUAUUCAAUUUUGCUUUCUUGUUCUUAUGUAGUAUAUGUAUCUAGUACAAUGUAAAUUUUAAUGUGGGAUUUCAUUUAAACGUGUCAUUUAAUGCGUAUUAUGAUUAAUAUGCAUUAUUCAUACACAUAUCAAGGUAUGUGUAUUUAAAUGAAUAUAGAAUUUAUACCUCGUUGACAAAUUAAAUUUACAAUAUUGAAAUAAGGGCGUCACGAUCAGGUACACGCAUCACGUUCGAUCGUCGACGAUCUUUCUAUAUAUAAAAUAUAUCGAUACCAAACGAUAUUACAUUUGUUGAAAGGCAUAUACGUAUUACGUACAUACGCGUACACGUGCAUACAGAAAAAUUAAGAAAAAAAUAGCAAAAUAGAGCGAGGAAGAGAGAGAGAGAGAGAGAGAUGAAAGUUCAUUGUUUACGAGGAAGGACGUCUGUCCUAACAAACGGAGUUUUCGAUGAGGUCUCGUAUUUUUGUAUUCCUGUUGCUUUCUUUUAUUUUUUGAUUUUGAUUAAUUAACUAAUUAAAUUAUAAAAAUUUUAAUAUAUAUAUAUAUAUAUAUAUAUAUAUAUAUAUUUAUAUAUAAUAUUAUUACACUGAAAGAAAAAGAGAAUGUUUAUACCAUUUACUAGCUGACGUAUACAAAGCAAAUCUUAUUACAAUGUUUAUAUGUUUCUCUAUAAGCUGAAAUAUCUAAAUCCACCUUAUGUUAUUUACUUUCUGUCGAAUAUCGUAUGAGAUCAGUCUUUCGGCAACCACCAAGGUGGAAUGUUGGAAGAUCCCAUAUAAACAUACGUUUGUAAAUAGAUACAUAUGUACAUAACUAGAUACAUAAUAUACACACCCACGCACACAUACACAAAGUAUACAGUAGUCUUUCUCUUGGGUAUUGCUUGAGAUUUUCUUAUAUUGUAUGGACAGUAACGAGCAACCUUUGUUCUGCAAUGAGCCAAAAUUAAAUAUCUGAUAUUGUUAUUGAUACAUUAUGAACUAAAAAUGUUUAAAUUGAUUAAAAAGAUAUUAAUACUUGAUAGAAAAAGAAAAAAUUACACAUUAUUGAAGGGUAUUUGUUAUUUUCGGCAUCAAUUUACAAUGAAAUGUUUUCUAUAAUCCUAUUGAUUUUUUAUUAGCAAUACUUUUAAUGUGUACGCAUAAAUGUAUGUAUAUAUAUCUUUGUAAUGGAACGAAAUCUAUUAGUUGUUUAUUUUUAAUUAGAUAUAUGAUUCUACUUCUCGUUAAUAAACUUUACAUUAUUAUAUUGGAAGAUACAAUGGAAGAUAUCGAAUUAAACUCUAAUACAAUCUUUUAUUCGUUUGUCGUUAACGUUAAGACUUUUGAUAAAAGAUUUCAAUACUUCGGUUAAUAGUUAAAAUGCCUUUCAACUGGACGUAGAUAACAAAGCUCUUCACAAAUGUAUCAACGUAAGAUGUAAUACCACUGAUUAAGAAAUUCACUAAUUAUAGUCAACUAUUGUCAUUUUUCGAUGCAAGAUGUAAGUCGUAUUUGCAUUGAUACGCAGAUGAAUACGUAUAUGAUAAUGUUUUUUUAUAAACCCUGAGUUUAUUUCUGAUACAGAUUGAGAUAUAUACAGAUAUAUAUAUAUAUAUAUAUAUAUAUACAUAUAUAUUAUAUAUUAUAUAUAAUAUGUAUAUAUAUAUACAGAGAGAGAGAGAGAGAGAGAGAGAGAGAGAGAGAGAGAAAGAAAGGGUAAACGAAUCGAGAAUUUGAAUAAAACAAAGAACGAUAUCGAGAUUAAAUUGAAAAGAAACUUUGUUAGCUCUUGACAAAAAGGCAUUCGAUAAGGAAGCAUUAGGCGUCCAAAGUACAAUUAUAUCAAAAACCCAUUCAAAUUAAAGAAGAUUACAUAUGUAUCUGAUUAUGAUACCUUAUAUUUCUUAUUAUUCAUAUAAAAGAAAAGAAAAAGAAAAAAAAAACAGUUAAGAAGAAUAAGAAAGAAAUCUCAUCUUUAUUUCCCAAUAUCUUCAAUUAUGAUGGAUUUCUAAAUACAAUAAGGAUAAUAAUAACAAUAAUAACAACAACAAUAAUAUGCAGAAGAAGAAGAAGAAGAAGAAUAAAGUAUCUUGGUAUAUUCAAUUUUGCUUUCUUGUUCUUAUGUAGUAUAUGUAUCUAGUACAAUGUAAAUUUUAAUGUGGGAUUUCAUUUAAACGUGUCAUUUAAUGCGUAUUAUGAUUAAUAUGCAUUAUUCAUACACAUAUCAAGGUAUGUGUAUUUAAAUGAAUAUAGAAUUUAUACGUCGUUGACAAAUUAAAUUUACAAUAUUGAAAUAAGGGUGUCACGAUCAGGUACACGCAUCACGUUCGAUCGUCGACGAUCUUUCUAUAUAUAAAAUAUAUCGAUACCAAACGAUAUUACAUUUGUUGAAAGGCAUAUACGUAUUACGUACAUACGCGUACACGUGCAUACAGAAAAAUUAAGAAAAAAAUAGCAAAAUAGAGCGAGGAAGAGAGAGAGAGAGAGAGAGAUGAAAGUUCAUUGUUUACGAGGAAGGACGUCUGUCCUAACAAACGGAGUUUUCGAUGAGGUCUCGUAUUUUUGUAUUCCUGUUGCUUUCUUUUAUUUUUUGAUUUUGAUUAAUUAACUAAUUAAAUUAUAAAAAUUUUAAUAUAUAUAUAUAUACAUAUAUAUAUAUAUAUAAUAUUAUUACACUGAAAGAAAAAGAGAAUGUUUAUACCAUUUACUAGCUGACGUAUAGAAAGCAAAUCUUAUUACAAUGUUUAUAUGUUUCUCUAUAAGCUGAAAUAUCUAAAUCCACCUUAUGUUAUUUACUUUCUGUCGAAUAUCGUAUGAGAUCAGUCUUUCGGCAACCACCAAGGUGGAAUGUUGGAAGAUCCCAUACAAACAUACAUUUGUAAAUAGAUACAUAUGUGUAUAUGUACAUAUGUACGUAACUAGAUACAUAAUAUACACACCCACACACACAUACACAAAGUAUAUAGUAGUCUUUCCUUGGGUAUUGCUUGAGGUUUAUUAUAUUGUGUAGACAGUAAUGAGCAACCUUUCUUCUGCAAUGAGCCAAAAUUAAAUAUCUGAUAUUGUUAUUGAUAGAAUUCAUUAUGAACUAAAAAUGUUUAAAUUGAUUAACAAAGAAAUUAAUACUUAAUAGAAAAAGAAAAAAUUACACAUUAUUGAAGGGUAUUUGUUAUUGUCGGCAUCAAUUUACAAUGAAAUGUUUUCUAUAAUUCCAUUGAUUUUUUAUUAGCAAUACUUUUAAUGUGUACGCAUAAAUGUAUGUAUAUACAUUUGUGUAAUGGAACGAAAUCUAUUAGUUGUUUAUUUUUAAUUAGAUAUAUGAUUCUACUUCUCGUUAAUAAACUUUACAUUAUUAUAUUGGAAGAUACAAUGGAAGAUAUCCAAUUAAACUCUAAUACAAUCUUUUAUUCGUUUGUCGUUAACGUUAAGACUUUUGAUAAAAGAUUUCAAUACUUCGGUUAAUAGUUAAAAUGCCUUUCAACUGGCCGUAGAUAACAAAACUCUUCACAAAUGUAUCAACGUAAGAUGUAAUACCACUGAUUAAGAAAUUCACUAAUUAUAGUCGACUAUUGUCAUUUUUCGAUGCAAGAUGUAAGUCGUAAUUGCAUUGAGGCGUAUAUGAAUACGUAUAUGAUAAUCUUUUUUUGUAAACCCUUAGUUACUCAUUUCUGUUAUGUAUUAUAUACUAUAUAUAUAUAGAGAGAGAGAGAGAGAAAGAGAAAGGGUAAACGAAUCGAUUAUUGAAAUAAAACAAAGAACGAUAUCGAGAUUAAAUUGGAAUGAAACUUUGUUAGCUCUUGACAAAGAGGCACUCGAUAAGGAAGCAUGAGCCGUCCAAAGUACAAUUAUGUCAAAAACCCAUUCAUAUUAAAGACGAUUACACAUAUAUCCGAUUAUGAUACCUUUCUAAGUCCUGAAAUAAUUCCAUUCAAAUUUAUAUUACACUACUGCCAUGUAUGGUAAGUAAUUGAUUGUAAAGACUUUUAAUAGACUAAGAAGUGGCGGAUUCCAAGGAUUUCUAUAUAAUAUAAUAUAUAAGUUCUGUGUACCGUAGACUCUUCAUUUUUGAGGAAACAAGUUUUUUCAAACCUCUGGGAAUACCUAAUAAGUAACGUAGCUAUUUCUGGUUUUUGAAAGUUAAUGCAUAGUUUAAAAUGGAAAUAUAUACGAUGGAAACAUACUGACAAUUUUUGCGGGUUUAAAUGCUCCAAUUAUUACAGAAAGAUUUGGUCCUAUAAAAGAUUAUUUUUUGGACAUUCAUCUGUCACAGCUUCACAAUUCUUUUCUUCAUACUGUACGUCACACGCUUCGCGUAUAGCCUCUUUUUUUAUCGAUCAAGAACUAUCUCCAACAAAAUACGAUAACAGAAAUUAAGAAGUUUCGUAAUUCUUUCAUAGAAGUAACUUUUACUUCUACAAUAAAAAGAAAUUAAUAAAUGUUAUAGCUAUGUGUGUCAUGCAACGUGAAAUAAAAACUGACCUUUUUCAAUGCAUACAAAAAUGUUUUGGUGAAAGAAAAUCUGAUCCAUUGGUUCUUGAUUGUCCAGGAUGAUGAUUCUUUCUUUUGCGAAGCUAUAAAAGCGGUUGAUAUACUUUUGGCUGCGGCAAGUCUUGCUGUUUUUCUUUGUAAAUCCAGAAAUAAUUCAAUUCCAAUUAUACAUUACGCCAUUAGCGUACAACUAGUUGAUUGGAAAGAUUUUCCAUUGACUCAUAGAUGGCGUUGACUGAAGAAUUUCCAAACUAUAUAUAGAUCGUUUGUAGACUUCACUCGUACAUGAUUGGCCCGAUCUGGACAAAAAAAAGAUCCGCCUAGAGGGCGCAACGAGAGCUCACCCAUGAGUCCGGUCCCGUUCUUCUAGGUGCUAUAGUUUCAGUAAACCGCUGUAACGUCCGUAAGAGUGCUCUAACCUCACUCGAACUUCCAUAACGUCCGUAAUAUCGCCGGAACUACAUAACGUCCGUAAAAGUGCCGUAACAUCACUCGAACAUCCAUAACGUCUGUCUUACGUCCGUAAGAGUGCCGUAACCUCACUCGACCAUCCGAAACGUCUGUCGAACAUCCGUAACGUCCGUAACAUCGCCGUAACGUCUGUCACAGCUCCGUGACAUCACAGAUGAUCGAAAUAACGCCGGAACGUCUGUCACACGUCCGUGACGACCGUAACAACGCCGUAAUGUCCGUCUGAAGUCCCUGACGUCCAUAAGAACACCGUAACGUCUGUCACAGGUCCGUGACGUCACAGAUGAUGGAAACAACGCCGUAACGUCCGUAACAACGCCGUAACGUCUGUCACAGGUCCGUGACGUCAUAGAUGAUCGAAACAACGCUGUAACGUUUCUCAGAGAUCUGUGACGUCACAGAUGAUAGAAAAACAACGCCGUAACUCCUGUCACAGGUCCGUGACGUCACAGAUGAUCGAAACAAGGCCGUAACUUCUGUAACAGGUCCGUGACGUCACAGAUGAUAGAAAAACAACGCCGUAACGACUCUAAUAGAUCUGUGACGUCACAGAUGAUAUAAACAACGCCGUAAUUUCUGUCACAGGUCCGUGACGUCACAGAUGGUCAAAACAACGCCGUAAUUUCUGUCACAGGUCCGUGACGUCACAGAUGAUAGAAACAACGCCGUAACUUCUGUCACAGGUCCGUGACGUCACAGAUGAUAGAAAAACAACGCCGAAACGUCUCUAAUAGAUCGGUGACGUCACAGAUGAUAGAAACAACGCCGUAAUUUCUGUCACUGGUCCGUGACGUCACAGAUGAUAGAAAAACAACGCCGUAACGUCUCUAAUAGAUCGGUGACGUCACAGAUGAUAGAAACAACGCCGUAAUUUCUGUCACAGGUCCGUGACGUCACAGAUGAUAGAAAAACAACGCCGUAACGUCUCUAAUAGAUCUGUGACGUCACAGAUGAUAGAAACAACGCCGUAACGUCUCUAAUAGUUCGGUGACGUCACAGAUGAUAGAAACAACGCCGUAACUUCUGUCACAGGUCCGUGACGUCACAGAUGAUAGAAACAACGCCGUAAUUUCUGUCACAGGUCCGUGACGUCACAGAUGGUCAAAACAACGCCGUAAUUUCUGUCACAGGUCCGUGACGUCACAGAUGAUAGAAACAACGCCGUAAUUUCUGUCACUGGUCCGUGACGUCACAGAUGAUAGAAAAACAACGCCGUAACGUCUCUAAUAGAUCGGUGACGUCACAGAUGAUAGAAACAACGCCGUAAUUUCUGUCACAGGUCCGUGACGUCACAGAUGAUAGAAACAACGCCGUAACUUCUGUCACAGGUCCGUGACGUCACAGAUGAUAGAAAAACAACGCCGUAACGUCUCUAAUAGAUCGGUGACGUCACAGAUGAUAGAAACAACGCCGUAACUUCUGUCACAGGUCCGUGACGUCACAGAUGAUAGAAAAACAACGCCGUAACGUCUCUAAUAGAUCUGUGACGUCACAGAUGAUAGAAACAACGCCGUAACGUCUCUAAUAGUUCGGUGACGUCACAGAUGAUAGAAACAACGCCGUAACUUCUGUCACAGGUCCGUGACGUCACAGAUGAUAGAAACAACGCCGUAACUUCUGUCACAGGUCCGUGACGUCACAGAUGAUAGAAAAACAACGCCGUAACGUCUCUAAUAGAUCGGUGACGUCACAGAUGAUAGAAACAACGCCGUAACUUCUGUCACAGGUCCGUGACGUCACAGAUGAUAGAAAAACAACGCCGUAACGUCUCUAAUAGAUCGGUGACGUCACAGAUGAUAGAAACAACGCCGUAAUUUCUGUCACAGGUCCGUGACGUCACAGAUGAUAGAAAAACAACGCCGUAACGUCUCUAAUAGAUCUGUGACGUCACAGAUGAUAGAAACAACGCCGUAAUUUCUGUAACAGGUCCGUGACGUCACAGAUGAUAGAAACAACGCCGUAAUUUCUGUCACAGGUCCGUGACGUCACAGAUGAUAGAAACAACGCCGUAAUUUCUGUCACAGGUCCGUGACGUCACAGAUGAUAGAAACAACGCCGUAAUUUCUGUCACAGGUCCGUGACGUCACAGAUGAUAGAAACAGCACCGUAAUUUCUGUCACAGGUCCGUGACGUCACAGAUGAUAGAAACAACGCCGUAAUUUCUGUCACAGGUCCGUGACGUCACAGAUGAUAGAAACAACGCCGUAAUUUCUGUCACAGGUCCGUGACGUCACAGAUGAUAGAAAAACAACGCCGUAACAUCUCUAAUAGAUCUGUGACGUCACAGAUGAUAGAAACAACGCCGUAAUUUCUGUCACAGGUCCGUGACGUCACAGAUGAUAGAAAAACAACGCCGUAACUCCUGACAUAGGUCCGUGACGUCAUAGAUGAUCGAAACAAUGCUGUAACGUAUCUCAGAGAUCUGUGACGUCACAGAUGAUAGAAAAACAACGCCGUAACUCCUGUCACAGGUCCGUGACGUCACAGAUGAUAGAAACAACGCCGUAACUUCUGUCACAGGUCCGUGACGUCACAGAUGAUAGAAAAACAACGCCGUAACGUCUCUAAUAGAUCGGUGACGUCACAGAUGAUCGAAACAAGGCCGUAACUUCUGUAACAGGUCCGUGACGUCACAGAUGAUAGAAAAACAACGCCGUAACGACUCUAAUAGAUCUGUGACGUCACAGAUGAUAUAAACAACGCCGUAAUUUCUGUCACAGGUCCGUGACGUCACAGAUGGUCAAAACAACGCCGUAAUUUCUGUCACA